GAUGAACGCUGGCGGCGUGCCUAAUACAUGCAAGUCGAGCGAAUGGAUUAAGAGCUUGCUCUUAUGAAGUUAGCGGCGGACGGGUGAGUAACACGUGGGUAACCUGCCCAUAAGACUGGGAUAACUCCGGGAAACCGGGGCUAAUACCGGAUAAUAUUUUGAACUGCAUGGUUCAAAAUUGAAAGGCGGCUUCGGCUGUCACUUAUGGAUGGACCCGCGUCGCAUUAGCUAGUUGGUGAGGUAACGGCUCACCAAGGCAACGAUGCGUAGCCGACCUGAGAGGGUGAUCGGCCACACUGGGACUGAGACAUGGCCCAGACUCCUACGGGAGGCAGCAGUAGGGAAUCUUCCGCAAUGGACGAAAGUCUGACGGAGCAACGCCGCGUGAGUGAUGAAGGCUUUCGGGUCGUAAAACUCUGUUGUUAGGGAAGAACAAGUGCUAGUUGAAUAAGCUGGCACCUUGACGGUACCUAACCAGAAAGCCACGGCUAACUACGUGCCAGCCGCCGCCGCCG
rnacentral:rRNA from 1 species